GGGAAACCCAGUGCAAUUCGUUGCACUAUCGUUAACUGAAUACAUAGGUUAACGAGGCGAACCGGGGGAACUGGAAACAUCUAAGUACCCCGAGGAAAAGAAAUCAACCGAGAUUCCCCCAGUAGCGGCGAGCGAACGGGGAGCAGCCCAGAGUCUGAAUCAGCUUGUGUGUUAGUGGAACGGUCUGGAAAGUCCGACGGUACAGGGUGAUAGUCCCGUACACCAAAAUGCACAGGCUGUGAACUCGAAGAGUAGGGCGGGACACGUGGUAUCCUGUCUGAAUAUGGGGGGACCAUCCUCCAAGGCUAAAUACUCCUGACUGACCGAUAGUGAACCAGUACCGUGAGGGAAAGGCGAAAA
rnacentral:rRNA from 1 species